rnacentral:rRNA from 1 species
GUAGGGUGCAAGCGUUAAUCGGAAUUACUGGGCGUAAAGCGUGCGCGGGCGGUUUUGUAAGUCUGAUGUGAAAUCCCCGGGCUCAACCUGGGAACUGCAUUGGAGACUGCAAGGCUAGAGUGUGUCAGAGGGGGGUAGAAUUCCACGUGUAGCAGUGAAAUGCGUAGAGAUGUGGAGGAAUACCGAUGGCGAAGGCAGCCCCCUGGGAUAACACUGACGCUCAUGCACGAAAGCGUGGGGGGGAGCAAACAGGAUUAGAUACCCUGGUAGUCCACGCCCUAAACGAUGUCUACUAGUUGUCGGGACUUAGUUGUCUUGGUAACGCAGCUAACGCGUGAAGUAGACCGCCUGGGAGUACGGUCGCAAGAUUA